rnacentral:rRNA from 1 species
AAAUUGAAGAGUUUGAUCAUGGCUCAGAUUGAACGCUGGCGGCAGGCCUAACACAUGCAAGUCGAACGGUAACAGGGAUCAGCUUGCUGAUUCGCUGACGAGUGGCGGACGGGUGAGU